rnacentral:rRNA from 1 species
AUAUCAAUAAGCGGAGGAAAAGAAACCAACAGGGAUUGCCUUAGUAACGGCGAGUGAAGCGGCAACAGCUCAAAUUUGAAAUCUGGCCCUAGGCCCGAGUUGUAAUUUGCAGAGGAUGCUUCGGGCGCGGUGCCUUCCAAGUCCCCUGGAACGGGGCGCCGGAGAGGGUGAGAGCCCCGUACGGUUGGCGGCCAAGCCUGUGUGAAGCUCCUUCGACGAGUCGAGUAGUUUGGGAAUGCUGCUCUAAGCGGGAGGUAGACCCCUUCUAAAGCUAAAUAUAGGCCAGAGACCGAUAGCGCACAAGUAGAGUGAUCGAAAGAUGAAAAGCACUUUGAAAAGAGGGUUAAAUAGCACGUGAAAUUGUUGAAAGGGAAGCGCUUGUGACCAGACGUGCGCCGGGGUGUUCAGCGGGCGUUCUCGCCCGUGCACUCGCCUCGGCGCAGGCCAGCGUCGGUUCGAGUGGGAGGAUAAAGGCGUCUGGAAUGUGGCUCCUCCGGGAGUGUUAUAGCCAGACGUGCCAUGCUCCCGCCCGGACCGAGGUACGCGUUCUGCAAGGACGCUGGCGUAAUGGUCUCCAGCGACCCGUCUUGAAACACGGACCAAGGAGUCGAGGUUUUGCGCGAGUGUUUGGGUGUUAAACCCGCACGCGUAAUGAAAGUGAACGUAGGUGGGAGCUUCGGCGCACCACCGACCGAUCCUGAUGUUUUCGGAUGGAUUUGAGUAAGAGCGUAGGGCCUCGGACCCGAAAGAUGGUGAACUAUGCUUGGAUAGGGUGAAGCCAGAGGAAACUCUGGUGGAGGCUCGCAGCGGUUCUGACGUGCAAAUCGAUCGUCAAAUCUGAGCAUGGGGGCGAAAGACUAAUCGAACCAUCUAGUAGCUGGUUACCGCCGAAGUUUCCCUCAGGAUAGCAGUGUUGUUCUUCAGUUUUAUGAGGUAAAGCGAAUGAUUAGGGACUCGGGGGCGCUAUUUAGCCUUCAUCCAUUCUCAAACUUUAAAUAUGUAAGAAGCCCUUGUUGCUUAAUUGAACGUGGGCAUUCGAAUGUAUCAACACUAGUGGCC